rnacentral:rRNA from 1 species
GAUUUCUGGUCGGAUACACCUAGCCCGCCACGGUUUCGUGUGUGAGUGCUGGUUGUGUAUCUACCAUCCUUCUAGUACUAGAUACUUGGGCAACUAAGAAUCUAGAGCUAGAUCUUUUACUUUGAACAAAAAUAAUCGUUUCAUGAAGGCAUUUUGCUAUGGAAUAAUUAGCAUGGAAUAAUAACUUAGGACUUCGGUUCUAUUUUGUUGGUUUCUAGAACUGCAGUAAUGAUUGAUAGGGAUAGUUGGGGGUGCUAGUAUUCAGUGGCCAGAGGUGAAAUUCUCGGAUUCACUGAAGACUAACUUAUGCGAAAGCAUU